GACGAACGCUGGCGGCGUGCUUAACACAUGCAAGUCGAACGGACAGGCCUCUUUCGGGGGGUACUCGAGUGGCGAACGGGUGAGUAACACGUGCGUAACCUGCCCUUGUCUUUGGGAUAACUUCAGGCAACUGGGGCUAAUACCGGCUAGGAGCUCCUGCUGCAUGGUGGGGGCUGGAAAGUUUCGGCGGUUGGGGAUGGACUCGCGGCUUAUCAGCUUGUUGGUGGGGUAGUGGCUUACCAAGGCUUUGCCGGGUAGCCGGCCUGAGAGGGUGACCGGCCACAAUGGGACUGAGAUACGGCCCAGACUCCUACGGGAGGCAGCAGGGGGGAAUAUUGCACAAUGGGUGGAAGCCUGAGGCAGCAACGCCGGGUGCGGGAUGACGUCCUUCGGGUUGUAAACCGCUUUCGCCUGUGACGAAGCGUGAGUGACGGUAAUGGGUAAAGAAGCACCGGCUAACUACGUG
rnacentral:rRNA from 1 species